GCAGAUAUUAGAAAAAUGCAAAUUAAGACUCCAUGAGACUCUCAGAGUGCCUCAUGCCAGAGCAAACUGUGGCCCUGAAACAUUGCCUGGCCUCUGCCCAUAGGCUAGAGGCACUGAAGAAGGUUGUGCAGUU